ACAGCAGCAGCCGCGGGAAUACAGAGGGUGCGAGCGUUAAUCGGAUUUACUGGGCGUAAAGCGUGCGUAGGCGGCUAAUUGAGUCGGAUGUGAAAUCCCCGAGCUUAACUUGGGAAUUGCAUUCGAUACUGGUUAGCUAGAGUGUGGGAGAGGAUGGUAGAAUUCCAGGUGUAGCGGUGAAAUGCGUAGAGAUCUGGAGGAAUACCGAUGGCGAAGGCAGCCAUCUGGCCUAACACUGACGCUGAGGUACGAAAGCAUGGGGAGCAAACAGGAUUAGAUACCCCAGUAGUCCCUGUCUCUUAUAC
rnacentral:rRNA from 1 species